AUUGAACGCUGGCGGCGCGCUUAACACAUGCAAGUCGAGCGAGAACCAGGCCUUCGGGCCUGGGGACAGCGGCGAACGGGUGAGUAACACGUGGGUAAUCAACCCUCGGUACUGGGAUAGCCCGGGGAAACCCGGAUUAAUACCGGAUGGCCCUUCGGAGCUUCGGUUCUGAAGGAAAAGGUAGCUUCGGCCUCCGACCGAGGACGAGCCCGCGGCGGAUUAGCUUGCUGGUGGGGUAACGGCCUACCAAGGCGACGAUCCGUAGCUGGUCUGAGAGGACGAUCAGCCACACGGGGACGGAGACACGGCCCAGACUCCUACGGGAGGCAGCAGUGGGGAAUCUUGCGCUAAUGCGGGAAACCGUGACGCAGCGACGCCGCGUGGGGGAAGAAGGCCUUCGGGUUGUAAACCUCUUUCAGGAGGGACGAGGCUACUCGGGUUAAUAGCCCAGAGGGUGACGGUACCUCCAGAAGAAGCCCCGGCUAACUACGUGCCAGCCGCCGCCGUAAUAC
rnacentral:rRNA from 1 species